UACUAGAAAUUCUGUCUUGGUUAUAAUGAACCAUAAGAACUUGUCAUAUAGAGCUGAUGCUAAACGUGUAUCUUCUAAACAAGCCUGCUGGGCUCUUUUUCUGUCACAUUAUAAUUAUAUGAUCACCAACAGAUGAGGUUACCGUAACGCAAGAGCCGAUGCUUUAACAAUUUCUAUAGUUCUUUCUGAAUGCAAUGCAACCCACCAUAAUAUUUCUUCUCAUAUCUUUGAGAAUAUCCAGACUAUCAGGUACAGGCCCCUCCAGAGAUUCAAGGUUUUUUGUAUUAGAAAGAGACUGGAAAGAGACCCUUACAUUCCACCAAAGUAGCAGGUCAAUUGGGUAUGAAAAAGAUACAACAAUAUACGCACCUCUUUUUGGUGGUCUCCUCUGAAACAUGUCACAGAUUUUAUGAAAGCAUGUCCUGUUUGUGUUCAAUCUAAGAACUCCACUAAACAAUCUACCGGUCUCCUAUUGCCCUUGCCUGUGCUUACAAAACGCAGACGUAUUUAUCUAUAGAUUUUAUUAUUUGAUCUUCUGAGGGUAAUACGGUUAUACUAAUAGUUGUGGGUAGAUAGGUUUGCCAUCGGUGAGCCUUUUAUGCACUUUAGGAUAUAACCCUUAUUUUUAAUUUAGACACUGCAUAUGUUUGCUAUAUAUCCUUGUCAAUUUCUGG